rnacentral:rRNA from 1 species
UGCAAGUCGAGCGGGAUGACGGGAGCUUGCUCCUGGAUUCAGCGGCGGACGGGUGAGUAAUGCCUAGGAAUCUGCCUGGUAGUGGGGGACAACGUUUCGAAAGGAACGCUAAUACCGCAUACGUCCUACGGGAGAAAGCAGGGGACCUUCGGGCCUUGCGCUAUCAGAUGAGCCUAGGUCGGAUUAGCUAGUUGGUGAGGUAAUGGCUCACCAAGGCGACGAUCCGUAACUGGUCUGAGAGGAUGAUCAGUCACACUGGAACUGAGACACGGUCCAGACUCCUACGGGAGGCAGCAGUGGGGAAUAUUGGACAAUGGGCGAAAGCCUGAUCCAGCCAUGCCGCGUGUGUGAAGAAGGUCUUCGGAUUGUAAAGCACUUUAAGUUGGGAGGAAGGGUUGUAGAUUAAUACUCUGCAAUUUUGACGUUACCGACAGAAUAAGCACCGGCUAACUCUGUGCCAGCAGCCGCGGUAAUACAGAGGGUGCAAGCGUUAAUCGGAAUUACUGGGCGUAAAGCGCGCGUAGGUGGUUUGUUAAGUUGGAUGUGAAAGCCCCGGGCUCAACCUGGGAACUGCAUCCAAAACUGGCAAGCUAGAGUACGGUAGAGGGUGGGUGGAAUUUCCUGUGUAGCGGUGAAAUGCGUAGAUAUAGGAAGGAACACCAGUGGCGAAGGCGACCACCUGGACUGAUACUGACACUGAGGUGCGAAAGCGUGGGGAGCAAACAGGAUUAGAUACCCUGGUAGUCCACGCCGUAAACGAUGUCAACUAGCCGUUGGAAUCCUUGAGAUUUUAGUGGCGCAGCUA